rnacentral:rRNA from 1 species
GGGUUGUGAGGUUAAGCGACUAAGCGUACACGGUGGAUGCCCUGGCAGUCAGAGGCGAUGAAGGACGUGCUAAUCUGCGAUAAGCGUCGGUAAGGUGAUAUGAACCGUUAUAACCGGCGAUUUCCGAAUGGGGAAACCCAGUGUGAUUCGACACACUAUCAUUAACUGAAUCCAUAGGUUAAUGAGGCGAACCGGGGGAACUGAAACAUCUAAGUACCCCGAGGAAAAGAAAUCAACCGAGAUUCCCCCAGUAGCGGCGAGCGAACGGGGAGCAGCCCAGAGCCUGAAUCAGUAUGUGUGUUAGUGGAAGCGUCUGGAAAGGCGCGCGAUACAGGGUGACAGCCCCGUACACAAAAAUGCACAUGCUGUGAGCUCGAUGAGUAGGGCGGGACACGUGGUAUCCUGUCUGAAUAUGGGGGGACCAUCCUCCAAGGCUAAAUACUCCUGACUGACCGAUAGUGAACCAGUACCGUGAGGGAAAGGCGAAAAGAACCCCGGCGAGGGGAGUGAAAAAGAACCUGAAACCGUGUACGUACAAGCAGUGGGAGCUCGCUUAGGCGUGUGACUGCGUACCUUUUGUAUAAUGGGUCAGCGACUUAUAUUCUGUAGCAAGGUUAACCGAAUAGGGGAGCCGAAGGGAAACCGAGUCUUAACUGGGCGUUAAGUUGCAGGGUAUAGACCCGAAACCCGGUGAUCUAGCCAUGGGCAGGUUGAAGGUUGGGUAACACUAACUGGAGGACCGAACCGACUAAUGUUGAAAAAUUAGCGGAUGACUUGUGGCUGGGGGUGAAAGGCCAAUCAAACCGGGAGAUAGCUGGUUCUCCCCGAAAGCUAUUUAGGUAGCGCCUCGUGAAUUCAUCUCCGGGGGUAGAGCACUGUUUCGGCAAGGGGGUCAUCCCGACUUACCAACCCGAUGCAAACUGCGAAUACCGGAGAAUGUUAUCACGGGAGACACACGGCGGGUGCUAACGUCCGUCGUGAAGAGGGAAACAACCCAGACCGCCAGCUAAGGUCCCAAAGUCAUGGUUAAGUGGGAAACGAUGUGGGAAGGCCCAGACAGCCAGGAUGUUGGCUUAGAAGCAGCCAUCAUUUAAAGAAAGCGUAAUAGCUCACUGGUCGAGUCGGCCUGCGCGGAAGAUGUAACGGGGCUAAACCAUGCACCGAAGCUGCGGCAGCGACGCUUAUGCGUUGUUGGGUAGGGGAGCGUUCUGUAAGCCUGCGAAGGUGUGCUGUGAGGCAUGCUGGAGGUAUCAGAAGUGCGAAUGCUGACAUAAGUAACGAUAAAGCGGGUGAAAAGCCCGCUCGCCGGAAGACCAAGGGUUCCUGUCCAACGUUAAUCGGGGCAGGGUGAGUCGACCCCUAAGGCGAGGCCGAAAGGCGUAGUCGAUGGGAAACAGGUUAAUAUUCCUGUACUUGGUGUUACUGCGAAGGGGGGACGGAGAAGGCUAUGUUGGCCGGGCGACGGUUGUCCCGGUUUAAGCGUGUAGGCUGGUUUUCCAGGCAAAUCCGGAAAAUCAAGGCUGAGGCGUGAUGACGAGGCACUACGGUGCUGAAGCAACAAAUGCCCUGCUUCCAGGAAAAGCCUCUAAGCAUCAGGUAACAUCAAAUCGUACCCCAAACCGACACAGGUGGUCAGGUAGAGAAUACCAAGGCGCUUGAGAGAACUCGGGUGAAGGAACUAGGCAAAAUGGUGCCGUAACUUCGGGAGA